UUACACUAGUGUUAACUGCCGAAGACAGCAGGUGCCGUAUGGCAUAAGUUGCAAACGCCUGCCGAGGAAACAUACCAUAUUAAAUGUGUAAGUUUACGCCUCUUUGUCUUCAUUGAUAAAGAGGUUUUUUAUUGUCGGC
rfam:Clostridium symbiosum WAL-14163 genomic scaffold supercont1.10, whole genome shotgun sequence.